UACGGAGGGUGCGAGCGUUAUACGGAAUUAUUGGGCGUAAAGCGCGCGCAGGCGGUCUUUUAAGUCUGAUGUGAAAGCCCACGGCUCAACCGUGGAGGGUCAUUGGAAACUGGAGGACUUGAGUGCAGGAGAGGAAAGUGGACUUCCACGUGUAGCGGUGAAAUGCGUAGAGAUGUGGAGGAACACCAGUGGCGAAGGCUACUUUCUGGUCUGUAACUGACGCUGAGGCGCGAAAGCGUGGGGAGCAAACAGG
rnacentral:misc_RNA from 1 species